rnacentral:rRNA from 1 species
GACAGAGGGGGCAAGCGUUGCUCGGAAUUACUGGGCGUAAAGAGCUCGUAGGCGGUUUGUCGCGUCUGCUGUGAAAACCUAAGGCUCAACCUUGGGCUUGCAGUGGGUACGGGCAGACUAGAGUGCGGUAGGGGUGACUGGAAUUCCUGGUGUAGCGGUGGAAUGCGCAGAUAUCAGGAGGAACACCGAUGGCGAAGGCAGGUCACUGGGCCGCAACUGACGCUGAGGAGCGAAAGCAUGGGGAGCGAACAGG